CACGAGCAAGAGUCACGUGUGCACACAGCCAAGCAGACACGGACUGUAAACACGAGUGAGAGAGAAGAAGAUAGUUUUAUACCGGAGAGGAACGUCUGAGCAGCCGAGUUUGCAAUGAUAAGCUAGCAAAGCUCUUAUGUCUCACUUAUUGGGCCUGAUGUUAGUCACUGAUGUUCGUGUGUGUGAGCCACGGCAGACUCCACUUCCUCCUGUGCCAUGCUAUUGUUAGCUUCUCAAACACGGGAGCUCUCUGAAGAGAUGUUUUGAAACCAUCAGCCACUGAAAAAUAAUGAAGAUUCCAGCAAAGCAAAACAGCAGCAAGCAGAACCUUCCAUGACAGCACAGGAACAUGAUGAAGAUGCCAGCCAGCCAUGCAAACAUAGAGCAGAGACACUCACAAUAAGUCAACUGGUGACACUCUUACUGGUCGGAAUCUUUCUCUGUGUGCCAUGUUCAUCACUCCUUUCUGUCUCUUUAUCGUUCUUUGUUAUUAUUGACAAGGGUUUUCUCCUCAGGAAAGUGAUGAAGAUGCCAGAAAAACAAAUGAGCUGAGAGUAGAAACUUCAACAAUAAGCCAUGUAAGACAAGAGUAUUGUUUUCUGUCUCUCUCAAAUUACAGUCUCUAAAGCCUUGUUCCUGUCCCAGACUCAAUGCUCCCCUUCUAGUCUCUUUUUUAAAUGAAUAUUGGGCAUGUGUGUUCUUCCAAGGAUAGUGAUGAAGAUGACAGCCAAACAGAAGAGCAGAGAGCAGAAACUUUUAAUGAAGCACAGAGCUCUCAGAGCAAUGAUGACGCUGGCAGCCAAACAGAAGUGCAAAGAGCAGACCUUUCCACAUUGGAACAGGAAAAUGUCCCUCAAGACAUGGAUGUUGUUCACUCCCAUGGACUAACGGAAGGGCAGAGUUUCAUCUCCAUUCUCUCCUUUGCACUGAAACACAACACUACUGGUGUAUUAACUGAAGAUCUGCUGACACUUCUAAAGUUACAUUCUGCUGGGACAAGUGCAGUUCCAACAACAAAAGACAGUUUACACGGAGGACAUUUCUUUAUCAGUAUUCCGUUAAAGGAUCAACUUAAAGAUAUUCUUGAAAAUCAGGAAAGAACUUCAGCAUAUUGUUCACCUGUGGAACACCCACAUCAUUCAGAGAAGCAGAAAUGCAGUUGCACCAAGUGGCCGGCCUCACAUGAUGUACAUGCUUCCUCAGCUUUUUGGGGAAAGGACCAUCUCAAACAUGCAUCUGUGCAAGCAGUACAAACAUGCAGAGCACAAUGCAUACAACGAUGGACCUUACCCAUGUGA
rnacentral:lncRNA from 1 species